GACGAGCCACACAAACGUUAUUCGGAAUUACUGGGCUUAAAGGGUGCGUAGGCGGCGCGGAAAGUUGGGUGUGAAAGCCCUCGGCUCAACCGAGGGAUUGCGCCCAAAACUACCGUGCUUGAGGGACCUAGAGGUGAGCGGAACUGAUGGUGGAGCGGUGAAAUGCGUUGAUAUCAUCAGGAACACCGGAGGCGAAGGCGGCUCACUGGGGGUCUUCUGACGCUGAGGAACGAAAGCCAGGGGAGCGAACGGG
rnacentral:rRNA from 1 species